GCCCGGGUGGCUCAGUCAGUUAAGCAUCUGACUUUGGCUCAGAUCGUGAUCUGGCAGUUUGUGAGUUCGAGCCCCACGUCAGGCU
rnacentral:tRNA from 1 species